AGGAUUCGGCUGCAACAUGUUGACACUGGAGGCUACCUGCACAGUCAUGACAAGAAAUACCAACGAAUUGCUGGGGGGCAGCAAGAGGUUUGUGGUAUCCGUGAAAAGCGUGCUGAUAAUGUUUGGCUGGCAGCAGAAGGCGUGUACCUCCCUGUUAACCAGAGCUAGUAGAACAGAGUUAUGCUAUUUGACUUCUAAUUUGCAAAAACAGGUGCAUGGGUUUUGAAUUUUAGCGGUGUCGGGUGCCUGUCAUUAUUUGUUCUAAUAGCUAUAGAUGCUCUAUUAAUUGAAGAAAUAUGUUUCAGAGGCCAGAAUGCAACAUUGCUAAUUGUUGUUUCUUUUUCA
rnacentral:misc_RNA from 1 species